rnacentral:rRNA from 1 species
UACGGAGGGUGCAAGCGUUAUCCGGAUUCACUGGGUUUAAAGGGUGCGUAGGCGGGUAAGUAAGUCCGUGGUGAAAUCUCUGAGCUUAACUCAGAAACUGCCGUGGAUACUAUUUGCCUUGAAUAUUGUGGAGGUGAGCGGAAUAUGUCAUGUAGCGGUGAAAUGCUUAGAUAUGACAUAGAACACCAAUUGCGAAGGCAGCUCACUACACAAUCAUUGACGCUGAGGCACGAAAGCGUGGGGGAUCAAACAGG